CUUACAAUCUGAAGUGUCCGUCCCUAGGGUCAGACCACUGUCCUGGGGCAGCCGGGGUCCGCGGGGCCCCCCGCCGGGCUCGCCGGUCCGUCGGACUUUUGGCUGAGAUCCGUGUCAGACUCCUCCGAAUAGUCGUCUGUUGGCAUCGAGGGCUGAACCCCUGAGGUGCUGCAUGAACUUGAGGUCAUCUGCCCCCUGCCUCAUACGGAAGAAUCCCAAGGACAGGGGGACAGCAGUUUGCCUGAACUCUUCCCCGCACAAGGUGAAAGAUGGAGGAGAACCUCACAAGCGGAGGUCUAAUGAGCCUCUCGCUGGGGGCACCAGCAGCAGUCACGUCCACCACAUUCAUUCCAAAUGCACCCCCAUGCUAAUUUCUAAGGCUAUCACAGAAGACUCAGAGAACAACAGUUGCAGAGGAGCCCCAGAAGAGAACUAAUCCAGUGCCCCGAAAUCACACAGAGAUCAGGAGUAACAACACUAACCAGGCUGCUUGCCUGCCUCUUCCAAACUGGAGCUCCCGUCUCGAUCUGGAACAGCCGCUGGGAGGAACAUGCUGCUGGGCAUCACCAUCUCCGGGGUGGUCACCUGGACGGCGAGAAGCAGAGAAACAAGCUUCCAGAGCUUUCCACGCAAAUCCCUCAAAUGCUUUUUGCUAAAGAGCCAUAAACGUAACCCUGCCAGGAGAGCUCACUGAGGAAAAGAGGAGGUGGCCAACGGCCGAGUUCCCGCCACACCUGCUUGCAGAGCCCCUCUGUUCUCCAGUUACUGGCUACCACGCGCGGAAGGGCCAGAGAGCCCAGCCACGGCCUCCAAUGGACAGCCACGCACCCACAGGCCAGACGAAAGAUGGAGGCACGCAGGCGGUCCUCUCCACAACGACUGCAGACCAUCCGCGCAGACGCUUUCUCUAAAAUAUCUCUACACCCAACAAAUGUGUUCAGUGAUGCCCCCAUCGUCACGAAUGGACAGGGAACUGGCACUCUUGAAACACGUUUGAUAAAAAAAGUGACGGGGCAGAGGAAGAAACCAUCAACUGAGCUGUGGCGCUGGGAGUAAGAAAACAGUGGCUCUUCUACCUUCCAAAUAAGCAACGGGAUCUUGUGUUAACAAUACAAAUAGGAGAGUUCUGCUCCAGUGCUGGAAACCUUCAAGCUUAAGCAGUUCCAGAAUAGUCGUUGGGGAAGGAAGAGACGCAAGUGACUCUUUAUUCACCCCUUGAUUUGACCCCGCCUGCCACACAUUUUACAGACUCCCUAUGCUGCAAGCUUGAGAGACAGGGCGAGACAAGGUACCUGGUCUUGUCCCCGCUCCUGGGACGCUCACAAUCUGAAAUAACUAAACUUCUCAGGAAUUCUGGUGGAAGCCGCGGGUGCCUAGAAGUCUGUUUCCACAUAGCCUGUUUACAGAGUUCCAGGUAAGCACAGUGUCCCUGGCAGGAAAGACAUGGAUGCAAGUUCACUGUCCUUUGAACUACUAGGAGAGGGGAAACAGAUGCAUUAAAUAUCUAGUUCCUACCGCCACCUACUUCGGGUCAUCGUUAUUCUGGAUUGUGAUAUCACGUCAAGAUUCCAUGAAGUGUGUGUGUAUCCUAAAGCCCCAAGGGCGCGCACACCUUAUAAAACCCAGCUUCUUAAAUGUGAGUUCCCCGCCAGGACAUUUGGGAGGGGUCACCCACGUUUAGUCUGUCUCCGGGAAGGAAGCUGGAAUUGCAGGGAGCGCUCUUCCCGCCUUGCUUUGUCUCGGUCAUGGAGACAGAGUGGCCAGAUACCACCCCCUGAGCAGGGAAUGCUCGUGCAGAUUCACCACACGAGGCCCCUGUCUGGGUUACAUACAUGUAACCAACAGGCUCCACGUGCUCUCGAGAGCAAAGAGAUUUUCUUUGAAAAAGUGGUUUCUCUCAGACCUUCAUCCCGAAGGCUCGGACAUGCCUUGCCUAAACAGGGCUUCUUCCCGAAAGGGUCACUCUUCCGAGUAGCAGUGUAGAUUUGCCAAAAUCUACACCGCUGAGGAAGCCUCAGAUCCUUCUCAGUGAACAUCAACAGAAAGAAAAAGCUCAGGCAGAGCCCUCGUGGCAGUGACCUGGGCAGGCUCUCCAGCCCAGCAAAUGAGGUGUCGGUUCUGUUCCCCAAACAAACAGGAAGUUAAAACCCAGCUGCUUGCAGAGCUGAGGGUCUGGCUAGUGCGGAUCUCCAGCCGCUGCUCGCUCCCUGUCCUGGCUGCCGGGGCCAACACCUCUUAGCAGCAGAGCUGCAAGGGUCUGUGUCCCCCCGUCUUUACUACCUGCCCGCGCACAGGCUGGGGCGCUGGACUGUGGAGUGGGCCCAAAGGCUCUGUCUCAUUUCCUCUCUGUACUAUCUUCUGUGGGGUUGUCUAUACAUUUUUAA